rnacentral:rRNA from 1 species
CCUACGGGAGGCAGCAGUGGGGAAUUUUGGACAAUGGGCGCAAGCCUGAUCCAGCAAUGCCGCGUGAGUGAAGAAGGCCUUCGGGUUGUAAAGCUCUUUUGUCAGGGAAGAAACGGUGGGGGCUAAUAUCCCUUGCUAAUGACGGUACCUGAAGAAUAAGCACCGGCUAACUACGUGCCAGCAGCCGCGGUAAUACGUAGGGUGCAAGCGUUAAUCGGAAUUACUGGGCGUAAAGCGUGCGCAGGCGGUUUUGUAAGUUUGUCGUGAAAUCCCCGGGCUCAACCUGGGAAUGGCGAUGAAGACUGCAAGGCUAGAAUCUGGCAGAGGGGGGUAGAAUUCCACGUGUAGCAGUGAAAUGCGUAGAGAUGUGGAGGAACACCGAUGGCGAAGGCAGCCCCCUGGGUCAAGAUUGACGCUCAUGCACGAAAGCGUGGGGAGCAAACAGGAUUAGAUACCCUGGUAGUCCACGCCCUAAACGAUGUCUACUAGUUGUCGGGUUUUAAUUAACUUGGUAACGCAGCUAACGCGUGAAGUAGACCGCCUGGGGAGUACGGUCGCAAGAUUAAAACUUAAAGGAAUUGACGG